rnacentral:tRNA from 1 species
UCCCUUGUAGCUCAGUUGGUAGAGCAGAUGACUGUUAAUCAUCAGGUCUCUGGUUCGAAUCCAGACGGGGGAGCCA